rnacentral:lncRNA from 1 species
CUAGGCUAUAUGGGGGGGGGCCUCGACGUCCGUGAGCCCUCACGGCUACUCGCUCUCUCUCGGUAGUCUGACGAAAAGCGAGAGCAGGGGGAAACGGCGUCAGGAAGAAGGAGUAGCGCACAAGGUGGGCUGCUGUGCCAGACAGAAAGGGGGAAUGGGUCUGCUAGUGGGAGGGAGCCCACUAGUGGCGCCAGAUAAGAGGAAAGAAAAACCUGGGGCUUGCUAUUAAAUAAAACAAGACCAGGAAAAGAAACAAAAGCACAGGCUAAACUAUAGAUGCUAAAAAUAAAAC